AACGAACGCUGGCGGCAGGCUUAACACAUGCAAGUCGAACGGUUGUAGCAAUACAGCAGUGGCAGACGGGUGAGUAACACGUGGGAACCUUCCUAGGGGUACGGAACAACUCAGGGAAACUUGAGCUAAUACCGUAUACGUCCGUGAGGAGAAAGAUUCAUCGCCCUUAGACGGGCCCGCGUCGGAUUAGCUAGUUGGUGGGGUAACGGCCUACCAAGGCGACGAUCCGUAGCUGAUCUUAGAGGAUGAUCAGCCACACUGGGACUGAGACACGGCCCAGACUCCUACGGGGAGGCAGCAGUGGGGAAUCUUGGACAAUGGGCGCAAGCCUGAUCCAGCCAUGCCGCGUGAGUGAAGAAGGUCUUCGGAUUGUAAAGCUCUUUUGCCAGGGACGAUAAUGACGGUACCUGGAGAAUAAGCCCCGGCAAACUUCGUGCCAGCAGCCGCGGUAAU
rnacentral:rRNA from 1 species